rnacentral:rRNA from 1 species
UACGGAGAGUGCAAGCGUUGUUCGGAAUUAUUGGGCGUAAAGCGCGUGUAGGUGGCUUGACAAGUCUGAUGUGAAAGCCCAGGGCUCAACCCUGGAAGUGCAUUGGAAACUGUCGAGCUUGAGUACUGGAGGGGGAAGUGGAAUUCUCGAGUGUAGAGGUGAAAUUCGUAGAUAUUCGGAAGAACAUCAGUGGCGAAGGCGACUUCCUGGACAGAUACUGACACUGAGACGCGAAAGCGUGGGUAGCAAACAGG